rnacentral:miRNA from 1 species
CUAAGUAGUAGCGCCAACGGUGA